rnacentral:rRNA from 1 species
GAUGAACGCUGGCGGCGUGCCUAAUACAUGCAAGUCGAGCGAACAGACGCUGCGCUUGCUCCUCUGACGUUAGCGGCGGACGUGUGAGUAACACGUGUAUAACCUACCUAUAAUACUGGUAUAACUUCGGGAAACCGGCGCUAAUACCGUAUAAUCUCUUGAACCGUAUUGUUCAUUAGUGAAUGACGGUUUUUCUGUCACUUCUAGCUGGAUCCGGGCCGCAUUAGCUAGUUGGUAAGGUAACAGGUUAUUACGGCAACGAUGCGUAGCCGAAGUAAGAGGGGGAUAGGCGACACUGGAAGUGAGACAGGGACAAGGGGCCUACGGGAGGCAGCAGUAGGGAAUCGGACGCAAUAGGCGAAAACAUGACAGAACAGGGGGGCGUCAGAGGUGGAGGUCUUGGGAGCGUAAAGCCCUGUUAUUGGGGAAGAACAAAUGUGGAAGUAACUAAGCAGUGAUUGACGGUAACUGAUAAGAAAGCAACGGCUAACUACGUG